GUGGGGAAUUUUGGACAAUGGGGGCAACCCUGAUCCAGCAAUGCCGCGUGCAGGAAGAAGGCCUUCGGGUUGUAAACUGCUUUUGUACGGAACGAAAAGGCUCUGGUUAAUACCUGGGGCACAUGACGGUACCGUAAGAAUAAGCACCGGCUAACUACGUGCCAGCAGCCGCGGUAAUACGUAGGGUGCAAGCGUUAAUCGGAAUUACUGGGCGUAAAGCGUGCGCAGGCGGUGCUGUAAGACAGGCGUGAAAUCCCCGGGCUUAACCUGGGAAUGGCGCUUGUGACUGCAGUGCUGGAGUGUGGCAGAGGGGGAUGGAAUUCCGCGUGUAGCAGUGAAAUGCGUAGAUAUGCGGAGGAACACCGAUGGCGAAGGCAAUCCCCUGGGCCUGCACUGACGCUCAUGCACGAAAGCGUGGGGAGCAAACAGGAUUAGAUACCCCAGUAGUCC
rnacentral:rRNA from 1 species